rnacentral:rRNA from 1 species
UAAUACGUAGGUGGCGAGCGUUGUCCGGAUUUACUGGGCGUAAAGAGGGCGUAGGCGGUUCUUCAAGUCAGAUGUAAAAUCUCCCGGCUUAACUGGGAGGGGUCAUUUGAUACUGUUGGGCUAGAGGGCAGCAGGGGGAGGUGGAAUUCCCGGUGUAGUGGUGAAAUGCGUAGAUAUCGGGAGGAACACCAGUGGCGAAGGCGGCCUCCUGGGCUGUUGCUGACGCUGAGGCCCAAAAGCGUGGGGAGCAAACAGGAUUAGAUACCCUGGUAGUCCACGCCGUAAACUAUGGACACUAGGUAUGGGGAGUAUCGACCCUCUCUGUGCCGAAGCUAACGCUUUAAGUGUCCCGCCUGGGGGGUACGGUCGCAAGGCUG